rnacentral:rRNA from 1 species
CCUACGGGCAGCAGCAGUGAGGAAUAUUGGUCAAUGGGCGGAAGCCUGAACCAGCCAAGUCGCGUGAGGGAAUAAGGCCCUACGGGUCGUAAACCUCUUUUGCCGGGGAGCAAGGGCCGGGACGCGUCCCGGCCCGGAGAGUACCCGGAGAAAAAGCAUCGGCUAACUCCGUGCCAGCAGCCGCGGUAAUACGGAGGAUGCGAGCGUUAUCCGGAUUUAUUGGGUUUAACGGGUGCGUAGGCGGCCUUUUAAGUCAGCGGGGAAAUUCUGUGGCUCAACCAUAGAAUUGCCGUUGAAACUGGGAGGCUUGAGUAUGUUUGAGGCAUGCGGAAUGCGUGGUGUAGCGGUGAAAUGCUUAGAUAUCACGCAGAACCCCGAUUGCGAAGGCAGCCUGCCAAGCCAUGACUGACGCUGAUGCACGAAAGCGUGGGGAUCAAACAGGAUUAGAUACCCCAGUAGUC